rnacentral:rRNA from 1 species
UCUACCCCUCCGAGUGGGGGAAUAACAACCGGAAACGGUUGCUAAUACCGCAUAAUGCAGCGGCACCGCAAGGUGACAGUUGUUAAAGAUUUAUCGCUUGAGGAGGAGCUUGCGGCAGAUUAGCUAGUUGGUAAGGUAAUGGCUUACCAAGGCUACGAUCUGUAACCGGUCUAAGAGGACGGUCGGUCACACUGACACUGAAUAACGGGUCAG